UACGGAGGGUGCAAGCGUUAUCCGGAUUCACUGGGUUUAAAGGGUGCGUAGGUGGACAGGUAAGUCAGUGGUGAAAUCUCCAAGCUUAACUUGGAAACUGCCGUUGAUACUAUCUGUCUUGAAUAUCGUGGAGGUAAGCGGAAUAUGUCAUGUAGCGGUGAAAUGCUUAGAUAUGACAUAGAACACCGAUUGCGAAGGCAGCUUACUACACGAUCAUUGACACUGAGGCACGAAAGCGUGGGGAGCAAACAGG
rnacentral:rRNA from 2 species